AAGUCGUAACAAGGUUUCCGUAGGUGAACCUGCGGAAGGAUCAUUAUGAAUUUGGAACUUGUGCAGCUUGUUUCGAUUCCCCCUUUUUUUGGGGGGGGAUUGAACGCUCACAAUUCUUUUUUCUGUGAACUGGCGCAUUCUCUUUUUGAGUUUGCUCUUUUUUUGUUUUCUUGUAUUAUUCCACUUUUUUUUUGAGUAAUUCUUGCAAAAGAAUGAAAAAAAAAACAAAAAACCAAGACAACUUUCAGCAAUGGAUCUCUUGGCUCUU
rnacentral:misc_RNA from 1 species